CGCUCCUUCAGGUAUACUGGGCCGAGGCUGUUUAGGGCUUUAAAGGUCAGCACCAACACUUUGAAUUGUGCUCGGAAACGUACUGGGAGCCAAUGCAGAUCUCUCAGGACCGGUGUUAUGUGGUCCCGGCGGCCACUCCCAGUCAUCAGUCUAGCUGCCGCAAUGAUUCCCAAAUCAUUGCAAUAUAAAACACCUGGGCAGCAGUCCUUCCAUUGGAAGCAGUCAGAAGCCCCUUGGAACAAAGAGAGUCUCCCACCUGCUCUGGGAAGGACAAGGAGAGAGAGAGAUCCGGUCUAGCUUCUCCAGAGAAGGGAGUUCCAGAGUCGGGGAGCAGCCACCAGGAAGGCCCCUUCUUGGGUGCCUGAGAAGGUGGCAGGACCAAGAGAAGGGACUCCCAGCGUAGCACCAUCCAUGCUCAAGGAGGAGAUGGCGGCACCUCCAGUCCUCUGCUGCCAAAAUAUUCUCAUCCUUUUUGACAGGGUUCCUGGUCAGGGAUACAGCGAUACAGGCUUUUCCCAGGAAAAUCUUCCGCUUUCACAUUCUUGCCUCCAGCCUAUGGUUAAAUGCACCAAAACUCUGCCGUAGGAAAAGGUUAAAACCCUAUGUAUCUUAUCGAAUGCGGAUAAGAAAUCUCCAGUGUUACAUAUGCAAUUGGGGCAGGUCAAAGACAUUUUUACCUAAUCCAAAUAACAGCCUCCUCUUCAACUAAUUAAUAGGAGACGCUAUCUACUCCAAAGUUCCUCAACACAACUGUCGUCAAAAUGAUCAGUAAUGCCCUUUUGCAGUUUCCAUGCAUCUUGGUAGACCAAGAUAACCUUCCAGUGGCUUGUGCCUUUGAGUCAGCUCUGUCUGUAUUGCACCACGGCUCUUAGUGAUGCCAAAAAUCCUAAGCCCCUUCCACAUUACUUCAUGGUAAGGCUAGGGCUACCAUCUGCACCUUUUUAGCUGAACCAUUCCUAUUGAGUCUAUAGAGUGUCUGGCAAUUUCACUAUCAUAUUGUUACAGGAUUGAAGGGCUUGGUUGCUUGGAAUGAAAUCUGUGGAUUCCUUCCAAGCCAGUGGUUUUGUAUUGUAUCUGUAAGAUGGGAGUCAGUAGCAGAAGGAACAGCUGAAACAGUCAAGCCAGUCUCUUUGUUAACUCAGUGGUCCAGCCUGUUAAGCAUCCUUUUAAUAUGUCUAAAGAGCUGGUUAAAUACAGCUAGAUUGCCAUAGAAACAGCUAGCUAGUCAUGCUUCCCAAUGAAGGGGGCAGGCCUUACCCCCCCCCCACCUGGCUGGAUGACAAGUCCUGGGAGUAGGAGAAUAAUAGGUCAGUGGCUAGCCUUUGGCCAGUCUCACCCAUCCAGCUGUGAAGACACAAGUGCUUGGCAUGUUCUCUUCUGCAACCAGAACUGUGGCUUUGCAUUACAGUAAAUCUUGGAUAAGAUGGCAAAGCUUUGGUCUCCCCACCCGCCCUGGAGGGAAUACAGAGCCGGCCCUUCCAUAGGAAGAGUAAGGCAACUGCCUCAGGCAGCUGAUACUACAGGGAAGUUGAGGUAAUUUUAAUCCGUUUUAUUAUUUUAAAUUGCUUAUAUCUUAAAGUAGAGUUGUAUUCCCCCCCCCUUGACGUUACUGUUUUAUGUUUUGUAAACUGCAUUGAGAGGUGUGUUUUUUUGCAGUCAACGGGUGUAUAAGUUUUACAAAAUUAAAAAAUAAUAAAGAUGAUUGGUGACAGGA